rnacentral:rRNA from 1 species
AUACGUAGGGGGCAAGCGUUGUCCGGAAUUAUUGGGCGUAAAGCGCGCGCAGGCGGUCUUUUAAGUCUGAUGUGAAAGCCCACGGCUUAACCGUGGAGGGUCAUUGGAAACUGGAGGACUUGAGUGCAGAAGAGGAGAGUGGAAUUCCACGUGUAGCGGUGAAAUGCGUAGAGAUGUGGAGGAACACCAGUGGCGAAGGCGACUCUCUGGUCUGUAACUGACGCUGAGGUGCGAAAGCGUGGGUAGCGAACAGGAUUAGAUACCCUGGUAGUCCACGCCGUAAACGAUGAGUGCUAGGUGUUAGGGGGUUUCCGCCCCUUAGUGCUGAAGUUAACGCAAUAAGCACUCCGCCUGGGGAGUACGGCCGCAAGGCUGAA